CGUAGGGUGCGAGCGUUGUCCGGAUUUAUUGGGCGUAAAGAGCUCGUAGGUGGUUUGUUGCGUCGGGAGUGAAAACAACACAGCUUAACUGUGUGCUUGCUUUCGAUACGGGCAGACUUGAGGGAUGUAGGGGAGAACGGAAUUCCUGGUGGAGCGGUGGAAUGCGCAGAUAUCAGGAGGAACACCGGUGGCGAAGGCGGUUCUCUGGACAUUUCCUGACGCUGAGGAGCGAAAGCGUGGGGGAGCAAACAGGCUU
rnacentral:rRNA from 1 species